CAAGUACAUAAUUGUUUUGUCGGGGGAUGAGUUCUUCCCACCGGACAACUCACGAUUUUAUUUUUCUCAACUGGAAGGCCCGAAACGUAUCCUAAUCAUGCCAAACACUGAUUAUUUGAAUUUACGGAAAAACAAACUCCUGCAGAGAAUUACCUCUUUUUACUUCACGGUGGUUGAAAAGAAAUAUACACCUUACAAGAUCUCCUGGGAGAUGAACAUGACAAAUACCAGC